GACGAACGCUGGCGGCGUGCUUAACACAUGCAAGUCGAACGGACAGGCCCUUCGCUGUCCUCGAUUACCUAACGGGCGGGUGACACGUGGGUAAUCUGCCCUGCUCCUUGUAAUAAUCCUGGGACACUGGGUCUCAUGCCCAAUAGGCGCACGCGCUUCUUAGUCGGAGGGGGAAAGAGUUUGCGGUGUGGGAUGGGCCCGAGGCCUAUCAGCUUGCUGGUGGGGUAAUGGCUUACCAAGGCGACGACUGGUAGGCGGCCUGAGAGGGUGACCGGCCACACUGGGACUGAGGUACGGACCAGACUCCUACGGGAGGCAGCAGUGGGGAAUAUUGCACAAUGGGCGCAAGCCUGAUGCAGCGACGCCGCGUGAGGGAUGACGGCCUUCGGGUUGUAAACCUCUUUCAAUAGGGACGAAGCGCAAGUGACGGUACCUAUAGAAGAAGCACCGGCCAACUACGUG
rnacentral:rRNA from 1 species